AUGAAAAUUACUUCACACUCACACAUUUAGAACACGUCGGUUGAUCUCUUUUGGACCGCAACUCCAAUUUCCUUCGAUCUCCAGUGUCUACCGAUUGAAGCUGCUUAUUCAAUGCACUGACUAUUGUUGUCUCCACCACUCGAAAUCUCGAUGUUCCUGAAAUUUAUGUCGAUCGUUGCUUCUAGUCCUCUUCUCCAAUCUACAGAAGGGUCCUGUUGUAGCUGGGUUCUCGAUUCCUCUAUGAUGAUCGCUGGAGAAUGCAGUGUCGAUUUCUAUCGGUUUUCGGUCACCAUGACUGGCAGGCAUCAGGAGCAAGAGUCGUUGUCAGACUCUUCUGAUUUCGACAUAAUCACUGAUUUGUAAAGAAAAGAAGUCGACCAAAGUGAAGUUUCAAAGAUCGCAUGCAAAGUGUUAGAUGAAAGUACUCAAAUACGUCCACUUGUGUUAUUUGGUUCAAGAAUAGCCUUAGGAGAAGGACAAUGGAUUCAAUGAAGGUAAAGAAAUGAAAUCGUAUGCUGAUGAUUAGGUCGUCGGAAUCCCACAAAUAAUUUAUCCUCUUCAACUUUCAUUCAUUCAGCAACAGGAAGAAUGGGCUUUCCCAUCUCCAUUGAAGAACUUUCCUACUAUUAAGAAGACCAUGGCUACUUAUCAAUAGAGCCAGAGGUUUAUCCUGAAACAGAUCAGCACGCAAUCUUACAUAUCAGGUAAUGUAACAUGACCCUUAUUUGAUAACAUAUUAAAUGGUUGUUUUGUCCCAAAAAUCAACUCUUAUGUGAUGUAUUUCAUCUGGACUUUGACAAGUAUUUGGAUCAAAGCCAAGUAUUUGGAUGAAAAUCAACUGUUAUGUGGUAUAUUCAAACUAGAAAUUGAUGAUGCAAAAGAAGCAUGUAUAUUAUAUAUAUGAUUCUUUAGUUUCCAUCUAUUUUUUAAGAUUUGGAUUAAGAUUGUGUAUCAGUAUAAUGAAAUGUAACUUUACCUAAAGUUAUGAUUGGGUACUUGAACAUGUUUCAGAUGCUAAAGAGACCAAUGAGACCCAUGAGCCUUCUUAUAUGUAUAUGUUUGCUUCCUUUUGACUAUUUUGUUUUGGUACCCUUUGAAGUUUGACCUUCUUUCAUCCUGACAUGAAAAGUAUGAUCUUAUUAUAGUUAAUACAAAGAGAAUGUAAAUUCAAGAUUGAACAUAGUGAUUUUUAUUUAUUGUUUUUCUUAAUGAAUUUGUAAGUAAUUGGUCAAGUUUUUGUCAAUGGAAGUCAAAUAUGAGAUAGAUGAUGAUGAAGAUGAAAAGGCAUUGGAAGACAUUGUGAGAGAACAUAGUGGAAGAGAUCCCAUUGAAAUUGAAGGAAUCGGUGAGAUUAGGAUGGUGAGGUUGAAUCGAAGGGUGAGAUUAGAACAAGAAGGGAAGAAUCGAGAGAUGAAAAUUGGGGAAAAUGAUGAAAUCAAAAAACCCCAAAGUUGAAAACAACCUAAGAUUUCCUCCGGGAAGCAAUAGAGCGAUCUCAAGGGUGUGGCGAUGAAAGAGACGAGAAGAAACAAGUUUAUUUGGAAGGAUUGUAUGGUAUUGUUGAUGGGAGUGUCAAGUUAGAUGAGAGAAGACGAUUCAGGUGUUUAAUGAUGUGAAUAGUGAUCUUAGAAUAUUCCUUCUAAGCACAAGGUAUGGUGGGCUAGGAAUUAAUUUUUGGUUCUGAAUCCUCAAAUGGAUCUUCAAGCAAUGGAUAGAUGUCAUAGAACUGGGCUAACAAAGCAUGUUCAUGUUUACAAGCUUGCAACUGCACAAUCUGUUGAGCUUUUAGUAAGUUGAAGUUGGAGCAUGUGGUGAUUGGAAAAGGUCAGUUUCAACAAGGAGAAGACAAACACAAAAGUUUUGAAGAUAAUGAUGAUCUAGAAGGAAAAAGGAUAUAAACAAAUAUGCCUCCAGUCUCCAGACGAUCCAAAAGAAAACAUUUUGAAGAAAAGGGACUGAAAGCGUUAAAGAUGGGAACUUUGAAGGAUUAAGGCUUAAAAGAUGAAAAAAAUCCAGCAAAAACGCGUAUUCACGACGUGAGGAGUUAUAGCUCACGACGUGAUUGUGGACUUUCUAGAAGAUAGACAUCGCGAAGCAAGAAUCUGUGUUGGUUACGGAUUAUUAUUGGACUCACGACGUGAGACACUUAUCCUCACGACAUGAGUCGGGAAAAAUCCAAAACUAUAUAAAUCCUUAAUCCCUACGACGUUGAGGAGGUUGGCUGACUUAGAGAGUUUCCAGAAGUCGGAAAUCAGAGUUUUUGAAGGCUAGGGAAUUGGUUUGAACACCAAGGAAGAAGAAGUUCAUAAUUAGAUUUUUACUUUGGGACUUUAAAUAUGUUUUUUAUUGUAACUUGUUUGUGUUCAUUUGUUAGAAUGAGUAGCUAAAUCUAGGUGCUUCUGUUAGCUAGAUGAAUCUGGAACUCAUAGUUUAAUUAAAUAG